rnacentral:tRNA from 1 species
UGAGCUCCUGGCCGGGUUUGAGCAGGCGCAGGGUAUCCGUGCCCUCGAGCUGAUCGAUCAGGUGCAGAUCCGUGGUGCUGAGGCCAAGGCGCUGGA